rnacentral:rRNA from 1 species
UACGAAGGGUGCAAACGUUGCUCGGAAUUAUUGGGCGUAAAGCGCACGUAGGCGGUUUUUCAAGUCGGAUGUGAAAGCCUUUGGCUUAACCAAAGAAGUGCAUCCGAAACUGAAAUGACUUGAGUACUUAAGAGGAUCGCGGAAUUCCCGGUGUAGAGGUGAAAUUCGUAGAUAUCGGGAGGAACACCAGUGGCGAAGGCGGCGAUCUGGGAAGAUACUGACGCUGAGGUGCGAAAGCGUGGGGAGCAAACAGG